AUUGAACGCUGGCGGCAUGCCUAACACAUGCAAGUCGAGCGGAUGAAGGGAGCUUGCUCCUGGAUUCAGCGGCGGACGGGUGAGUAAUUCCUAGGAAUCUGCCUGGUAGUGGGGGAUAACGUCCGGAAACGGGCGCUAAUACCGCAUACGUCCUGAUGGUGAAAGUGGGGGAUCUUCGGACCUCACGCUAUCAGAUGAGCCUAGGUCGGAUUAGCUAGUUGGUGGGGUAAAGGCCUACCAAGGCGACGAUCCGUAACUGGUCUGAGAGGAUGAUCAGUCACACUGGAACUGAGACACGGUCCAGACUCCUACGGGAGGCAGCAGUGGGGAAUAUUGGACAAUGGGCGAAAGCCUGAUCCAGCCAUGCCGCGUGUGUGAAGAAGGUCUUCGGAUUGUAAAGCACUUUAAGUUGGGAGGAAGGGAAGUAAGUUAAUACCUUGAUGUUUUGACGUUACCAACAGAAUAAGCACCGGCUAACUUCGUG
rnacentral:rRNA from 1 species